GAUGACUUCUGUGCUUGCACAGAAUGAUUAGUGGCGAACGGGUGAGUAACACGUGAGUAACCUGCCCUUGACUUCGGGAUAAGCCUGGGAAACCGGGUCUAAUACCGGAUACGACCUCCUGGCGCAUGCCAUGGGGGUGGAAAGCUUUAUUGCGGUUUUGGAUGGACUCGCGGCCUAUCAGCUUGUUGGUUGGGGUAAUGGCCCACCAAGGCGACGACGGGUAGCCGGCCUGAGAGGGUGACCGGCCACACUGGGACUGAGACACGGCCCAGACUCCUACGGGAGGCAGCAGUGGGGAAUAUUGCACAAUGGGCGAAAGCCUGAUGCAGCGACGCCGCGUGAGGGAUGACGGCCUUCGGGUUGUAAACCUCUUUCAGCAGGGAAGAAGCGAAAGUGACGGUACCUGCAGAAGAAGCGCCGGCUAACUACGUGCCAGCAGCCGCGGUAAUACGUAGGGCGCAAGCGUUAUCCGGAAUUAUUGGGCGUAAAGAGCUCGUAGGCGGUUUGUCGCGUCUGCUGUGAAAGCCCGGGGCUCAACCCCGGGUCUGCAGUGGGUACGGGCAGACUAGAGUGCAGUAGGGGAGACUGGAAUUCCUGGUGUAGCGGUGAAAUGCGCAGAUAUCAGGAGGAACACCGAUGGCGAAGGCAGGUCUCUGGGCUGUAACUGACGCUGAGGAGCGAAAGCAUGGGGAGCGAACAGGAUUAGAUACCCUGGUAGUCCAUGCCGUAAACGUUGGGCACUAGGUGUGGGGGACAUUCCACGUUUUCCGCGCCGUANCUACGCAUUAAGUGNCCCGCCNGGGGAGUACNGNCGCAAGGCUAAAACUCAAGGAAUUGACGGGGGCCCGCACAAGCGGCGGANCANGCGGAUUAAUUCGAUGC
rnacentral:rRNA from 1 species